GAUGAACGCUAGCGGCAGGCCUAACACAUGCAAGUCGAGGGGCAGCACGUCUUCGGAUGGUGGCGACCGGCGCACGGGUGCGUAACGCGUAUGCAACCUACCUCUUACAGUGGGAUAGCCCAGAGAAAUUUGGAUUAAUACCGCAUAGAACAACAGGCCAGCAUUGGUCAAUUGUUAAACAUUCAUGGGUAAGAGAUGGGCAUGCGUUCUAUUAGUUAGUUGGAGUGGUAACGGCACCCCCAAGACAGCGAUAGAUAGGGGCCCUGAGAGGGGGAUCCCCCCGACACUGGGUACUGAGACACGGACCAGACUCCUACGGGAGGCAGCAGUGAGGAAUAUUGGACAAUGGGCGGGAGCCUGAUCCAGCCAUGCCGCGUG
rnacentral:rRNA from 1 species